GGAUGAACGCUAGCUACAGGCUUAACACAUGCAAGUCGAGGGGAAACGACAUCGAAAGCUUGCUUUUGAUGGGCGUCGACCGGCGCACGGGUGAGUAACGCGUAUCCAACCUGCCCAUCACUUGGGGAUAACCUUGCGAAAGUAAGACUAAUACCCAAUGAUAUCUCUAGAAGACAUCUGAAAGAGAUUAAAGAUUUAUCGGUGAUGGAUGGGGAUGCGUCUGAUUAGCUUGUUGGCGGGGUAACGGCUCACCAAGGCGACGAUCAGUAGGGGUUCUGAGAGGAAGGUCCCCCACAUUGGAACUGAGACACGGUCCAAACUCCUACGGGAGGCAGCAGUGAGGAAUAUUGGUCAAUGGACGAGAGUCUGAACCAGCCAAGUAGCGUGCAGGAUGACGGCCCUAUGGGUUGUAAACUGCUUUUAUAAGGGAAUAAAGUGAGUCUCGUGAGACUUUUUGCAUGUACCUUAUGAAUAAGGACCGGCUAAUUCCGUGCCAGCAGCCGCGGUAAUACGGAAGGUCCGGGCGUUAUCCGGAUUUAUUGGGUUUAAAGGGAGCGUAGGCCGGAGAUUAAGCGUGUUGUGAAAUGUAGACGCUCAACGUCUGCACUGCAGCGCGAACUGUUUUCCUUGAGUACGCACAAAGUGGGCGGAAUUCGUGGUGUAGCGGUGAAAUGCUUAGAUAUCACGAAGAACUCCGAUUGCGAAGGCAGCUCACUGGAGCGCAACUGACGCUGAAGCUCGAAAGUGCGGGUAUCGAACAGGAUUAGAUACCCUGGUAGUCCGCACGGUAAACGAUGGAUGCCCGCUGUUGGUCUGAAUAGGUCAGCGGCCAAGCGAAAGCAUUAAGCAUCCCACCUGGGGAGUACGCCGGCAACGGUG
rnacentral:rRNA from 1 species